rnacentral:rRNA from 1 species
AUUGAACGCUGGCGGCAGGCCUAACACAUGCAAGUCGAGCGGUUGACGGGAGCUUGCUCCCUGAUUCAGCGGCGGACGGGUGAGUAAUGCCUAGGAAUCUGCCUAUUAGUGGGGGACAACGUUUCGAAAGGAACGCUAAUACCGCAUACGUCCUACGGGAGAAAGCAGGGGACCUUCGGGCCUUGCGCUAAUAGAUGAGCCUAGGUCGGAUUAGCUAGUUGGUGUGGUAAUGGCUCACCAAGGCGACGAUCCGUAACUGGUCUGAGAGGAGGAUCAGUCACACUGGAACUGAGACACGGUCCGGGCUCCUACGGGAGGCAGCAGUGGUGAGUAUUGGACAAUGGGCGAGAGCCUGAUCCGACCAUGCCGCGUGUGUGAAGAAGGUCUUCGGAUUGUAAAGCACUUUAAGUUGGGAGGAAGGGUUGUAGAUUGAUACUCUGCAAUUUUGACGUUACCGACAGAAUAAGCACCGGCUAACUCUGUGCCAGCCGCCGCGGUAAAAC